rnacentral:rRNA from 1 species
AUACGGAGGAUCCGAGCGUUAUCCGGAUUUACUGGGUUUAAAGGGUGCGUAGGCGGGUGGCUCAGUCGGCGGUGAAAUGCAGCGGCUCAACCGUUGCCCUGCCGUCGAAACUGGCCGCCUUGAAUUCGGUCGAGGCCGGCGGAAUGCGCGGUGUAGCGGUGAAAUGCUUAGAUAUCGCGCGGAACGCCGAUUGCGGAGGCAGCUGGCUGGACCGAGAUUGACGCUGAUGCACGACAGCGUGGGGAUCGAACAGGAUUAGAUACCCUGGUAGUCCACGCCGUAAACGAUGGAUACUAGGUGUGGGAGGUAUCGAACCCUUCCGUGCCGCAGUAAACGCAAUAAGUAUCCCGCCUGGGAAGUACGGUCGCAAGACUGAA